rnacentral:rRNA from 1 species
AACGAACGCUGGCGGCAUGCCUAACACAUGCAAGUCGAACGAGACCUCCGGGUCUAGUGGCGCACGGGUGCGUAACGCGUGGGAACCUGCGCUUAGGUUCGGAAUAACUCCCCGAAAGGGGCGCUAAUAACGGGUAAUAUUCUCGGACACAAGGUGUAUCGCCUUUGGAUGGUCCCGCGUUGGAUUAGAUGGUUGGUAGGGUAAAACCCUACCAAGGUGACGUUGCAUACCUGGUCUGGGAGGAUGAUCAGCCACACCGGGAAUGCGACCCGGCCCAGACUCUUACGCAAGGGAGGAGAGGGGAAUAUAGGACACUCGACGAAGGCCUGAUGCAGCAAUGCCGGGUAAGUGAUGAAGGCCGUAGGGUUGUAAAGUUAGUUUACCCGGGAUGAUAUUGACGGUACCUGGAGAGAAAGCUCCGGCUAACUACGUG